CUGCAUGUCCAGGUUGAAGUUAGGUUAAGGGGGUUGUUGUCUGGUUCAAGGUCUCCACAUACAUCAUGUACAUGGAGGGCAUGCAUGCAUGAUAUGCUGUUGUUGAGUGCCAUUUGCUCGAUCUUGUGUAUAUAUGCAGUGUAUGAUGUGGUGAUCUCGGACCAGGCUUCGAUCCCUUUAACCAGCAUCUGCACAGUACUUGCACCUC